UAUUUUGUUGCUACUUUGUAACUGUUUUUGUUUUGUUCUGCUACUGUUAUGACUCAUAAUGUCUGACAAUCUGAGUUCUAUCUCUAGGACCCAUACAGGAGUUAGGAGAGAACUGACUCCACAAAGUUCUCCCCUUAUCUUUACAUGUAUGUCCAUAUAAGUGCCAUCUACACACCCACAAUAAUUAACUAAUUUUCUUUUAUAGGCACGUUGAUAAACACCACUCCAGUUACAGAAUUUAGGACCUCUGGAGCUAAACUCAGUAUUUGGUGUUUCAGCAAACUUCUGGGAGACAUUCUCACACACACUGAAGUUAAACAACAGGGCUCUCAUGUUAGGCUCUGAAGGAAGAAAUGCCUCUGGGAGAAACUGGACUAAAGUUGUUCCGAUGUUAACACUGCUGUUGCAACCUAGCAGAAAAGGGAAUAUGAGAUCUGCCUUCUCUGGACACAGGCCAGACUUGUGACAUCUUUGACCCGGUGGACAAUCAACCUGAGAAGACCCUUGACCACAAGCAAAAAGUUUCCCAAACACCAUUUUCUCUAUCCUGAUCUCCUGCUACCCUCAAUAAUUCAUGCUGAAUUUCCAAUUAUACCUGCAAUACAUAUGAAGUCCAGUCUUUUUACUACACAAGCAUCUUCACUUAAAUGUCUGAAAAGGUUGAAGCAUCCGAGAAUAAUAAAGACAC